CAUCUCUGGCUCCAAUGCGAUUAAUCGAGAAAAUCUUUCGCCUUUUACUAAGGGUUUCUGUGGACUGGAGCAAUCAUGAGUACUUGCCAGUUUUUGGAAUCCCCUCGAAAGAGCAG
rnacentral:snRNA from 1 species